rnacentral:rRNA from 1 species
GACGAACGCUGGCGGCGUGCUUAACACAUGCAAGUCGAACGGAAAGGCCCUGCUUUUGUGGGGUGCUCGAGUGGCGAACGGGUGAGUAACACGUGAGUAACCUGCCCUUGACGUUGGGAUAACUUCAGGAAACUGGGGCUAAUACCGGAUAGGAGCUCCUGCUGCAUGGUGGGGGUUGGAAAGUUUCGGCGGUUGGGGAUGGACUCGCGGCUUAUCAGCUUGUUGGUGGGGUAGUGGCUUACCAAGGCUUUGACGGGUAGCCGGCCUGAGAGGGUGACCGGCCACAUUGGGACUGAGAUACGGCCCAGACUCCUACGGGAGGCAGCAGCGGGGAAUAUUGCACAAUGGGCGGAAGCCUGAUGCAGCAACGCCGCGUGCGGGAUGACGGCCUUCGGGUUGUAAACCGCUUUCGCCUGUGACGAAGCGUGAGUGACGGUAAUGGGUAAAGAAGCACCGGCUAACUACGUG